ACAGAUUGAUUUUACAGCUCCACUCCGAGCCGGCCGCUGGCCCUGGGCAGGGGAUGAAUCAGCUUUCUCUGGGCCUUGGCUUUUAUUACAUUAUUUUCCUUAAACCUUCCUCACAGGCAGCUGAAGAGACAGAGAGAAACACAAAAACCACAGCCUAAAAAACCUUUUUCAGGGUGGAAUAUAAAUUCUGGGGAUGCAACACCCUGCAGGAUGAGCUCCUGCCCUGGAGGGACCAUCCAUCUGCUCUACAGGCAUGUGAGCAGCUUGUAAGAACCAGGUGUAUGCCCAGGACACCUGGCUCACAGAGAUGGACUGGAUAAAAAGAUUAACAUCUCCUUGCCCUUACUUUCCCACUCAUCCAUGAUACAAGCAGCUGACUUUAACAAGGACCGAUUUGCUAUUCAGCAUGUUUUAAUUAAUAUUAAAAUCUAUGGAUUUUUUAAAA